UACGAAGGGGGCUAGCGUUGCUCGGAAUCACUGGGCGUAAAGCGCACGUAGGCGGCUUGUUAAGUCAGGGGUGAAAUCCUGGAGCUCAACUCCAGAACUGCCUUUGAUACUGGCGAGCUUGAGUUCGGGAGAGGUGAGUGGAACUGCGAGUGUAGAGGUAAAAUUCGUAGAUAUUCGCAAGAACACCAGUGGCGAAGGCGGCUCACUGGCCCGAUACUGACGCUGAGGUGCGAAAGCGUGGGGAGCAAACAGG
rnacentral:rRNA from 1 species